CUCGUCUCUGCAGUAGCGAAGUGAAGUCUGGGUUUCGAUCUGAAGCUGAAGAUAAGAGAAUUUAGGGUUUCAGGCUGCAAGUGCAGUUUGAGGUUUUGGGGGUUUCGAUCUGAAGAUAUAUUUCUUAAGAGAAACGAUGCUGGUGACCAUUUUCCCUCACUUGCAAUCUGCUUAGGCUUUGAACUGUUAAGUACCGUUAUCAGGUUUGGUUCCCUCCCUUAUAGACACAUUUCUUGAUCUGUAUCUUUGAUAAUUUUAGAUGAAUUUUCGUGUCUUUGCUUCUAGUUGUCCGUUGUUUAACAUGUAUGAUAUAUGGUCAACUGUUGUUCAAGUAAAUCAACUGAC